rnacentral:rRNA from 1 species
AAACCUGCCUCAUAGACUGGGACAACUAUUGGAAACGAUAGCUAAUACCGGAUAACAGCAUUAACUGCAUGGUUGAUGUUUAAAAGUUGGUUAUGCUGACACUAUGAGAUGGCUUUGCGGUGCAUUAGCUAGUUGGUGGGGUAAAGGCCUACCAAGGCGACGAUGCAUAGCCGACCUGAGAGGGUGAUCGGCCACACUGGGACUGAGACACGGCCCAG